rnacentral:rRNA from 1 species
GCAUAUCAAUAAGCGGAGGAAAAGAAACUAACAAGGAUUCCCCUAGUAAUGGCGAAUGAAACGGGAACAGCUCAAGCUUAAAAUCAGCAAGUGAAAUUAAAAGCAUUUGCCGAAUUGUAGCUUAUGGAGGCAGUUAUCGACCCUACAGCUUGGUAAAAGUUCCUUUGAAUAGGACAUCAAAGAGGGUGAAAAUCCCGUCAUUGACCAGGUAAGUAAAAGUAGGGAAAUGUGAACUGUUUUCUUUGAGUCGGGUUGUUUGGGAAUGCAGCCCUAAUUAGGAGGUAAAUUUCUUCUAAAGCUAAAUAUAAGCAAGAGACCGAUAGCAAACAAGUACCGUGAGGGAAAGAUGAAAAGCACUUUGAAAAGAGAGUGAAAAGUACGUGAAAUUGUUAAAAGGGAACCGGUUGGUAGUCAAGCAUCGUUUCUAGAGGGAUUUAUUCUUUUAGUUAUGAGGUCAACAUGGGUUGUUUUUGCCUGAAAGGAAAAGAUGUGUGGCAAGCGGAAGAAAGGUAGGGAGAUUUGUUGUUUUUUCAAUUUAUUGAGAGGACGUUGUAUAAUGAAUUUCUUGUUAUAGUCAUCCAUGAGCUCACUUUAAAGCCUGUUUAUGGGGUGGAAACGACCGAGGAAAGCAGUAUUUUGUAUAGGGGGAUAUUAGAGAUUAUGGUUUGGUUGGAUACUUUUAGACAGCUUGCUGACUAGGAGAGCAACAUAAAUAUAAGUUCUUUUAAUAUUUUCACUAAUUAAUACUUCGGAUGUUGGCGAAAAGGCACCAAUCGACCCGUCUUGAAACACGGACC